UGUAGGAGUGAGCCUGCUCGCGAUAGCGGUCUGUCAGAUACAUCAUUGACUGAUCCAACGCUAUCGCGAGCAGGCUCACUCCUACA
rnacentral:misc_RNA from 1 species